UGGGGAAUUUUGGACAAUGGGGGAAACCCUGAUCCAGCCAUCCCGCGUGUGCGAUGAAGGCCUUCGGGUUGUAAAGCACUUGUGGCAGGAAAGAAACGUCAUGGGUUAAUACCCCGUGAAACUGACGGUACCUGCAGAAUAAGCACCGGCUAACUACGUGCCAGCAGCCGCGGUAAUACGUAGGGUGCAAGCGUUAAUCGGAAUUACUGCGCGUAAAGCGUGCGCAGGCGGUUCGGAAACAAAGAUGUGAAAUCCCAGAGCUCAACUUUGGAACUGCAUUUUUCACUGCCGUGCUAGAGUGUGUCAGAGGGAGGUGGAAUUCCGCGUGUAGCAGUGAAAUGCGUAGAUCUGCGGAGGAACACCGAUGGCUAACGCAGCCUCCUGUGAUAACACUGACACUCAUGCACGAAAGCGUGGGUAGCAAACAGG
rnacentral:rRNA from 1 species